CUUCUCUCUCUCGGGGCGAUCAAUCACAGUUGGCUGACAGCCAGCAGGCCGCAGGUCGUCAUGCCGACAGCAGAUGGCUCUUUAUUGCCAUGACAACCACAGGGAGCAGGAAGUGACACGUCCAGCCAAAGACACACACACGCGCGCACGCAUGCAUGCAGUGUGUGUCACAUGCAAAAACCUGACUAAAGAAGAACUGUUUAGGUUAGGGUUUAUUGGUUAGGUUAGGUCAGGGUUUGAUGGUUAGGUUAGGGUUUGAUGGUUAGGCUAGGGUUUGAUGGUUAGGCUAGGGUUUGAUGGUUAGGUUAGGGUUUAUUGGUUAGGUCAGGGUUUAAUGGUUAGGUCAGGGUUUAAUGGUUAGGGGGAUCAAGGUAGAAGAGUUCACGUCGCGAUCCCUGCCAAGUAAUAACAACAAUACUACUUGCGAAUUCUACCAAACACUUUGACGCCAAGCCGAAAGACAAAUGAUGUCGAAUAGCCCAAAUAAUGGCACUAGCCCAUCAGCCCGAAAGAGGAAGAGAGGCCAACGCCUGCCACCAAGGCCAUCUUUGACCAUCAUAUCUCUAAAUGUUGAAGGACUGUCUGCAGCUGAGAAGAACUUGCUGCCUAACUCUGCAGAGAGCAUCAGUGUGAUACUCUCUGCCUUCAAAAAACUCACCGCGGACCCAAACAUCCCCGCCCUCGAGUGGAAGGCAUGACCACCCUCAUUGAAAGAACACAUGGAAAACAUGGAAGCGUCAAGCUUGCAAAAAACAGGACAAUCAUCGCAUAAACAUCAAAGAGCGAUGAAAACAGCAAACCCCUGAGCUCAGAGAAAUUAC
ensembl:lncRNA